UGUAACUCUUAACGAUCUCGCUAGACCAUCGUUAACUUACGAUAAUCGUUCCCAUAACGAUUUUGGGACUGAUAGCGAUUUUGUAACAUCUAUCGUCUCGUUACAUAGCGAUCGUAUCGUUAGAAUGUCAUCGUUCCGGAACGAUAGGUUUCAGCUCACCGUUAGAAGUGUCAGAACACGUUAGAAAAGUAUUUAUACAAUGAAGAGGAACGUUUUGGUGCAAAUAUGGGUAGAGAAGGUAAAUAGACAGAAUGAGAAAUUUGUCUCGGGUCUUAAGAGAUGUAAACGACCCCUUGAUCGUUCGAGAAGAAACCUUUAGGAAGACCUACCAACUGUAAUGGGAAGCGGCGAGAGAUACAUUUCCAGAAAUACUGCCGCAGAGUUCUGUAUUAUUCACCAGAAGUUGCAGGAAAAAUUACAUACUCAUGUGCUGUUUCACACAAUCUUACGCAUAAGAAAUAUCGAAAAUGACGAGAUCAACAUUGUCUAUGACAAGGAGAACGAUAAUAAUGAAGAACUUGAAUAUGAAGAACACAAUUUACUACAUGAAUGGCAUAUCACAAGAAAUAAUUUAAUAAUACAGCAUUUUCAAUAAUGUAUUUAUUAUUUUUUUUACAACAUAAUGAAAUUAUUAAACAGUUCCUCUUUCA